GAUGAACGCUGGCGGCGUGCCUAAUACAUGCAAGUCGAACGAAGCGGGGACGGGUGAGUACCACGUGGCUAACCUCCUAUAAGACUGGGCUGACUUCGGGAAGCCGGAGCUACACCGGAUACUUAUAUAUGGAUCUUCGCGGCAUUAGCUAGCUGGUAGGGUAACGGCUUACCAAGGCAACGAUGCAUAGCCGACCUGAGAGGGUGAUCGGCCACACUGGAAUUGGGACACGGUCCAGACUCCUACGGGAGGCAGCAGUAGGGAAUCUUCCGCAAGGGGCGAAAGCCUGACGGAGCAACGCCGCGUGAGUGAUGAAGGUCUGCGGAUCGUAAAACGCUGUUAUGAGGGAAGCGGUACCUAAUCAGAAAGCCACGGCUAACUACGUGCCAGCAGCCGCGGUAAUUC
rnacentral:rRNA from 1 species